GGGCGAGUGGCGGAACGGCAGACGCGCCGGCUUUAGGAGCCGGUGUCGAAAGACGUGCGAGUUCGAGUCUCGCCUCGCCCACCA
rnacentral:tRNA from 1 species